rnacentral:rRNA from 1 species
AGGAUGAACGCUGGCGGCGUGCCUAAUACAUGCAAGUCGAGCGGUAAGGCCCCUUCGGGGGUACACGAGCGGCGGACGGCUGAGUAACACGUAGGAACGUACCCCAAACUGAGGGAUAAGCACCAGAAAUGGUGUCUAAUACCGCAUGUGAUCUUCGGAUUAAAGCUUCGGCGGUUUGGGAACGGCCUGCGCAUGAUUAGCUUGUUGGUGAGGUAAAAGCUCACCAAGGCGACGAUCAUUAGCUGGUCUGAGAUGAUGAUCAGCCAGACUGGGACUGAGAACGGCCCAGACUCCUACGGGAGGCAGCAGUAGGGAAUUUUCCACAAUGGGCGAAAGCCUGAUGGAGCAACGCCGCGUGCAGGACGAAGGCUUUCGGGUCGUAAACUGCUUUUAUAUGUGACGAUUAUGACGGUAGCAUAUGAAUAAGGAUCGGCUAACUCCGUGCCAGCAGCCGCGGU